CGCGCAGGCUGCCUGAUUAGUCAGAUGUGAAAGCCCGGGGCUCAACCCCGGAAGUGCAUUUGAUACUGUCAGGCUUGAGUAUGGGAGAGGAAAGUGGAAUUCCUGGUGUAGAGGUGAAAUUCGUAGAUAUCAGGAGGAACACCGGUGGCGAAGGCGACUUUCUGGACCAAUACUGACGCUGAGGCGCGAAGGCGGUGGGGAGCAAACA
rnacentral:rRNA from 1 species